rnacentral:rRNA from 1 species
ACUACGGGAGGCAGCAGUGAGGAAUAUUGGUCAAUGGCCGGAAGGCUGAACCAGCCAUGCCGCGUGAAGGUCAGUGCCCUAUGGGCGUUAAACUUCUUUUGUGCGGGAGCAAUAAUGGUCACGUGUGGCAAGACGAGAGUACCGUACGAAUAAGCAUCGGCUAACUCCGUGCCAGCAGCCGCGGGAAUACGGGGGAGGCAUGCGUGAUCCGGAUUUAAUGGGUUUAAAGGGUGCGUAGGCUGUGAGGUAAGUCAGCGGUGAAAUGCCACCGCUCAACGGGGUGAAGUGCCAUUGAUACUGGCUUGCUGGAAUGCGUAUGGGGUGGGAAGAAUGUGUGGUGUAGCGGUGAAAUGCAUAGAGAUCACACAGAACACCGAAUGCGAAGGCAUCUCACGAAUCCGCGAUUGACGCUGAUGCACGAAAGCGUGGGUAUCAAACAGGAUUAGAUACCCGAGUAGUC